UGGGGAAUAUUGGACAAUGGGCGCAAGCCUGAUCCAGCAAUGCCGCGUGUGUGAAGAAGGCCUUCGGGUUGUAAAGCACUUUUUAUCAGGAGCGAAACGCUGUCGGCUAAUACCCGGCGGAACUGACGGUACCUGAGGAAUAAGCACCGGCUAACUUCGUGCCAGCAGCCGCGGUAAUACGAAGGGUGCAAGCGUUAAUCGGAAUUACUGGGCGUAAAGCGUGCGUAGGCGGUUUCUUAAGUCUGCUGUGAAAUCCCCGGGCUCAACCUGGGAAUGGCAGUGGAUACUGGGAGGCUAGAGUGUGUCAGAGGGUGGUGGAAUUCCCGGUGUAGCGGUGAAAUGCGUAGAGAUCGGGAGGAACAUCAGUGGCGAAGGCGGCCACCUGGGACAACACUGACGCUGAGGCACGAAAGCGUGGGGAGCAAACAGGAUUAGAUACCCUGGUAGUCCACGCCCUAAACGAUGCGAACUGGAUGUUGGUCUCAACUCGGAGAUCAGUGUCGAAGCUAACGCGUUAAGUUCGCCGCCUGGGGAGUACGGUCGCAAGACUGAAACUCAAAGGAAUUGACGGGGUCAUAGCUGUUUCC
rnacentral:rRNA from 1 species